rnacentral:rRNA from 1 species
AGUGAACGCUGGCGGUAGGCCUAACACAUGCAAGUCGAACGGCAGCACAGUAAGAGCUUGCUCUUACGGGUGGCGAGUGGCGGACGGGUGAGGAAUACAUCGGAAUCUACUUUUUCGUGGGGGAUAACGUAGGGAAACUUACGCUAAUACCGCAUACGACCUACGGGUGAAAGCAGGGGAUCGUCGGACCUUGCGCGAUUGAAUGAGCCGAUGUCGGAUUAGCUAGUUGGCGGGGUAAAGGCCCACCAAGGCGACGAUCCGUAGCUGGUCUGAGAGGAUGGUCAGCCACACUGGAACUGAGACACGGUCCAGACUCCUACGGGAGGCAGCAGUGGGGAAUAUUGGACAAUGGGCGCAAGCCUGAUCCAGCCAUACCGCGUGGGUGAAGAAGGCCUUCGGGUUGUAAAGCCCUUUUGUUGGGAAAGAAAAGCAGCAGGUUAAUACCCCGCUGUUCUGACGGUACCCAAAGAAUAAGCACCGGCUAACUUCGUG